rnacentral:rRNA from 1 species
AACGAACGCUGGCGGCAGGCUUAACACAUGCAAGUCGAGCGCCCCGCAAGGGGAGCGGCAGACGGGCGAGUAACGCGUGGGAAUCUACCCAUCUCUACGGAAUAACGCAUGGAAACGUGUGCUAAUACCGUAUACGUCCUUCGGGAGAAAGAUUUAUCGGAGAUGGAUGAGCCCGCGUUGGAUUAGCUAGUUGGUGGGGUAAAGGCCUACCAAGGCGACGAUCCAUAGCUGGUCUGAGAGGAUGAUCAGCCACACUGGGACUGAGACACGGCCCAGAGUCCUACUGGAGGCAGCAGUGGGGAAUAUUGGACAAUGUGCGCAAGCCUGAUCCAGCCAUGCCGCGUGAGUGAUGAAGGCCCUAGGGUUGUAAAGCUCUUUCACCGGUGAAGAUAAUGACGGUAACCGGAGAAGAAGCCCCGGCUAACUUCGUGCCAGCCGCCGCCGUAAAAC